ensembl:lncRNA
UAUUUCAAUACCUGUUAGAACCCAGAGAAAUAUUAUGCUAUGGAAUAUUUCCAGAAUUUCAGAGAUCAAUUCAUGAAAUACUAAACAGCAAUCUUAAGAACAGGAUUAAGCAGUGAUGGUUCUAAUGGGCUUUGUAACAGAUGAUAUCUAUCAUGGGAUUCAAAAAGAUACUGUCCUUUUUCUCAUUCAUCUAGUCCUCUUUUCUAACUGCUUUGGGUAUUGACCAUGAAGUGGAUAAAGUAGCCAGAGCUCUGUAGAGACAACUGUACUCUGACUUUUGGGAAAGCGACGGACAUCCAGUCACUACUACUACAGAUCAGCUGAUGGGAACUGCUAGUCUACUGGUUAAGUGACUUGGCCGUAGUAACAAGCUUGCUGCUGCUGCUGCUGCUAAGUCGCUUCAGUCCUGUCCGACUCUGUGCGACCCCAUAGACGGCAGCUCACCAGGCUCCCCUGUCCCUGGGAUUCUCCAGGCAAGAACACUGGAGUGGAUUGCCAUUUCCUUCUCCAAUGCAUCAUAGUGAAAAGUGAAAGUGAAAUUGCUCAGUUGUGUCCAAUUCUUAGCGACCCCAUGGACUGCAGCCUCCCAGGCUCCUCCAUCCAUGGGAUUUUCCAGGCAAGAGUACUGGAGUGGGGUGCCAUUGCCUUCUUAGUUAUGGUCAGUUUGGGGGAAAAAAAAUGAACACAUCUUUUUUAAUUGCUUUGUUUCUUCAUAAAUUCUCUAAAGUCCAACUAAGUUGAUGUCAUGGGAGGGACAUGUGUUAUUACACUUGAACCUUUGAUAGGUGAGAAAACAAUGGCAACGUGUGUUUUCUUAAAUUUGAAAUAAUUCGCUCAGUGGAUUGAAAGGUUCUGUCCGCUCCAAGCACGUGCCUGUGCAUCAGUGACCAGAUGCAGAGCGUCUAAAGUCCACAAAACUUGGAUGAAGAUGGUCCCACGUGGAGGGGGGCAAUGCCACCACCCUCAAUUAGCUGAUGUUGACAUUCAAGGGGAAGUCAAAGCCAAAUCUCUGUUGAAUUGCUGACAAAGAGAAUCUCACUUUGGUAAAGGAAAUUCCAAUAUCUCACUAAAUGUAUUUGUCCUUGUUCUAAACUCAUAAUGCGAGGACAUCAUGGACCUGAAGACAAACUCUUUUUCAGGGUAGAGAAAGAAAAGAAGACAAUCCUGCCUCUUCCUCUGCAUCACAAAGGCAUCCAGCCUCCAAGGUGACCAGUUUGACCUUUCUCUUAAAGCACUGUUUAAUUUUUUUUAAGCCUUUAAAAAUGCCAACAUGCAAAUUGUACAUAAAAUAUUUAAAACAUGAGUCCUCACUUUGAAAAGGUGAACUAAUGAAUUCAUCAAUCAAAACCUUGAAGUUCUGAAAACCUCUAAUUUACCCUUGUUGUAAUUUAGUGGAAGAAAAGUAGCCUUCUUCGAGAUAGCUCCACAAAACCGUAAUUAACCUUUGCUUUUGUCGGAACAGGUAGGACAAUUGGCAGAGAAAGAUGAUAAAUAAGAUACACAUACACACACAUCAGAGUGUAAUC